GGUUUCGGACGCGAGGAGAGGAUGUGCGGAAUGGGUUCUCACGCCUCCGUGCGUCUCUCCCACCUCCGUGUCGCUGCCGGUUGGCGCGGGGCCGGGCUGCGGCCCGGGAUGGCGCUGCGCAGGUGCACUGCCUCUGCCGCUCCGCAACGGCGGCCCGGGGGGGGGCUGCGGAGCCGAGCGCGGCUGGGCUGGCACCGCCGGCGCUUGCUGCGGGAGCGGCCGCACCGGCGGCUGUGGGGCUCGUCCUGGCUGCGCAGCUGAUGGCAGAGCUGGCUGAGGAGACGGCAUCGGCGCUGGCGCGGACUGAGGCUGGAUCGACUGCUCUGUUUGCGUCUGAGCCGAUACCCGGGGCGGCGCAGCCGGCUGCGCUGGCGGCAGCGCUUGUCGAGCCGAGGCGUGCGGCAGAGGGACGGGUGUAGACCGCGCCGGGAGCUGGCGUGGCUGGGGCGCUUGAGAUAGAGUCCCUGAGUCGUACAGCCCCGAGGCCGGCGUUUGGGCACGGGACGGCGGCGGCGGUGAAGGAACUGGGACCGGUUGCGGCGCUUGGACCGGAGAAGGAGCGAUUGGCAAAGCCUGUCUCAUCCUGUCUUCAGUCACCGCGGGUCCCGCACGACAGCCUGUGCUCUGCCGGGCCGCCUCUGCGUCUCUCAGGGCUGCAUCCCUCUCCUUUCGGAGCACCCUGACCUCUCGCUGGGCAGCUUCUACAUUCACACCGCGCCGGACACUUUCCUCUCCCAAACUCCUAACUUCAGCUCUCAGCUCCUCAUUGGUUCGCUCCCAGUACCUUCGCUCUCGACGGAAACGAUCCUCCAGCUCCUUCGAAUCGUCUCUCAGCUUUCCUAAUUUAAGUCUCAGGCCAUCACAUUCGCUGUGAGCAUGAACCAGAAAUGCUGCCAACCGCACAAAAUUCUCACUGUCCACUCCUUCAGCGUCCUUAAAGGCCACGUACAGCGCAGUGAGCACAUCUGCUGACUUACUGGCAGCUCGGUCUAGGCUAACAUCGCCGAGCCUGUCCACGGCUCUCCGUAUAUCAGAAGGCUCAAAGACAGACACGAACUUGGAAAGCAGAUCUAAUCCUGCCAGCGCUCCUGCAGCCUCUGCUGCCGCAGCCUCUCCCCCCUGUGCCAUUAUGAACUCUCUGCCGUUACUCUGUAUCUACCUCAUCCUGCCCACGACGCCAGCUUGUCGUGGAACGCAGUCUCACAGGGAAUUCACGGGGAGAACAGGCGAGGCUGACUUGUAAAGCCCAAGUGAUGUAUUGCUGAAACACGGAGCUCCCCUUCCCCAAACUCAGUUCCCCAGGUGGAUUCUUUGAUGAGGCUGGAGUAACAGCUCAGAGAAUGGUAAAUAAAA